GGCUUUAACAUCCACAAUGAACACAAGUGUGUAGUUUUCUUCUGUCUUCUUCACGGCCGACUCAGUGGUCAGCGGAAACUUGAUGAUAGCAUAGUGGUCAAGCUUGUUUCUCCUGGGGGUGUUCUUCCGAGGAUAUCUGGGCUGCCUCUGGAGUCGCAGUGUCUUGGGCCGCCUGAAGAUAUUAUUUCCCCCUGAUGCUUUCCUGAAAGCUCCUGCAAUCAGCUACAGGUCAGAAUAUUCGUCUCCAAGGCAGGACUCCCUCUGAGACUCACAGAAAAGACUAU
rnacentral:antisense_RNA from 1 species